ACCUGAUGCAGCGACGCCGCGUGAGGGAUGACGGCCUCGGGUUGUAAACCUCUUUCAGUAGGGAAGAAGCGAAAGUGACGGGUACCUGCAGAAGAAGCGACCGGCUAACUACGUGCCAGCAGCCGCGGUAAUACGUAGGGCGCAAGCGUUAUCCGGAAUUAUUGGGCGUAAAGAGCUCGCAGGCGGUUUGUCGCGUCUGCCGUGAAAGUCCGGGGCUCAACUCCGGAUCUGCGGUGGGUACGGGCAGACUAGAGUGAUGUAGGGGAGACUGGAAUUCCUGGUGUAGCGGUGAAAUGCGCAGAUAUCAGGAGGAACACCGAUGGCGAAGGCAGGUCUCUGGGCAUUAACUGACGCUGAGGAGCGAAAGCAUGGGGAGCGAACAGGAUUAGAUACCCUGGUAGUCCAUGCCGUAAACGUUGGGCACUAGGUGUGGGGACAUUCCACGUUUUCCGCGCCGUAGCUAACGCAUUAAGUGCCCCGCCUGGGGAGUACGGCCGCAAGGCUA
rnacentral:rRNA from 1 species